rnacentral:lncRNA from 1 species
GCCGUUGGGGGCGGGUCUGCCCGCUGCUCGCGGGCGCUUUGCCAACGCUCCCCAGGUGGGCGUCGCCUUGGCCUUCCCCACCUUUGUACUUUUGCACAUCAGAAGAUUAGGAGAAGGGAUUCUGCAUGCAAAUAGAAUUAACAGGACUGCCUUUUUGGCUGCUGACAUAUGAAGGACUUUCAGCUCUCAGUCUUAGAUUGCAACCUGACUGUUAUCUGUUCAAGAAUUCCUUUGAAGAUGUCGGACUUAACAUCAGUGUUAAGAGGAUAAAGUCAGGCAUCUGACUGGUUCAGACUGUCAUUGCUUAUGGUGUGUGGGUAUCUAUAACAGAGAAAAAUGGACUGCAUAGCCAUAUCAAGAAGCCUGUGAAAAUACCAAGAUGUUGAGAAGCCAGAGGGGCCUGGAUGGGUCGUCUGGGAAAGGCCUGACAGGUACUACUGUGCAGUGAUCAUGAAACAAGGGAUAGAAAUCUUGGAGAGUGAACAAGGAUGUUUAUACUGUCAUAUGAAACUAUCUCCCUUUCACGUGCAGUAGAGGCGGUUUUUAUAGAAACCUUUGUGUUCUCUAGUGUUCAAGCAUGGUGUAUGUGGUGAUCAGCCUUCAUUUAACGCAGCAGAUUUCUGUAGUCAAGAUCACAGAUUUUCUUUGUCCCUCAUACUUUCCUCCUGCAUCUUAUUGUUGAUCUUUGGUCUUCAUUUAGUCUCUGAGAAGCAUUUCACCUUUCCCCUGUUUCAUCUCACUAUCUGCUCUACCUCCUGCCCCAGACUGCUACUAAUUAGCUUACUACAUGAAGUAAACUCUCUUAUCAACUCGGUAUGCAGAGAAGCUUGCUUUAUUCCCAAGGGCUUGUGACGUAGAUUCCAUGGCACCAUUAAUCUCUCUGUAAUCACUAAGCAUGUUCUUCCCUAUAGCCUUGUCCUGAAGCAAUUUCUGAGAGCCUGAGCAAAUAUUGGGAACAAAGUGCUUCUGAACCACCUUUUCCUGUCUCUGUCUAUCUCUUCUUUUAUUUCCGAGGUUCUACUGAAUCAUUGGUGAAUGAUUGGUGAAAUAUGACUUUGCUUUUUCUGCUGAGACAGCUUAGGAUAAGGAGCAUGAUUAUGUUGUAUCUACGUAGGCAGCCAUGACUUUCGGUUAAUAUGUUCCUGGUCGGUCUAAUAUCCUGAGUAUGAAGAGGCAAAACCCUGAGGAAGUUAGGCCUGUGCUCAUAUGUUCAAAGAAGGUGUGUAAUUUUGAGAACUUCAGUUACGCUUGAGCUGCCAGAGCUGAAUAUUCUUAAAUUUCUUG